UCCGGCUUGUCACCGGCAGUUUCUCCAGAGUGCCCGGCCGAACCGAUGGCAACUGAAGAUGGGGGUCGCGCUCGUUGCGGGACUUAACCCAACAUCUCACGACACGAGCUGACGACAGCCAUGCAGCACCUGUGUUCCCGCCAGCCGAACUGAAGGACCGGAUCUCUCCGGCCCAUACGGGACAUGUCAAGGGCUGGUAAGGUUCUUCGCGUUGCGUCGAAUUAAACCACAUGCUCCACCGCUUGUGCGGGUCCCCGUCAAUUCCUUUGAGUUUUAACCUUGCGGCCGUACUCCCCAGGCGGUCAACUUCACGCGUUAGCUACGGUACUGAGAAAUCGCUUCCCCAACACCCAGUUGACAUCGUUUAGGGCGUGGACUAC
rnacentral:misc_RNA from 1 species